rnacentral:rRNA from 1 species
GAUGAACGCUGGCGGCGUGCCUAAUACAUGCAAGUCGAGCGAACAGAUGAGGAGCUUGCUCCUCUGACGUUAGCGGCGGACGGGUGAGUAACACGUGGAUAACCUCCCUAUCAGACUGGGAUAACUUCGGGAAACCGGAGCUAAUACCGGAUAAUAUAUUGAACCGCAUGGUUCAAUAGUGAAAUACGGUUUUGCUGUCACUUAUAGAUGGAUCCGCGCCGCAUUAGCUAGUUGGUACGGUAACGGCUUACCAAGGCAACGAUGCGUAGCCGACCUGAGAGGGUGAGCGGCCACACUGGAACUGAGACACGGUCCAGACUCCUAAGGGAGGCAGCAGUAGGGAAUCUUCCGCAAGGGGCGAAAGCCUGACGGAGCAACGCCGCGUGAGUGAUGAAGGUCUUCGGAGCGUAAAACUCUGUUAUUAGGGAAGAACAAAUGUGUAAGUAACGAUGCACGUCUUGACGGUACCUAAUCAGAAAGCCACGGCUAACUACGUG